rnacentral:sRNA from 1 species
UCGCAUCAGGGAUUGCAGCGGAUAUCCUUUUCUGAAAGAAAAGAUUGCAGCGGAAAGCGCGGUCGCAG